GCUGUACAUUCUUGAUGUGACCCUACCAUGAUUUGACACCCCCUGGCCACCCACCACCCUGCCUCUGGAAUCACAAACUGCUUGUCCCCAUUGGGGUCGCAGGUGAGCAGGAGCCUCCGGCUGACUUUGGGUGAGAAGCAACGUA